UCGGGAAUAUUGCGCAAUGGAGGAAACUCUGACGCAGUGACGCCGCGUGCAGGAAGAAGGUUUUCGGAUUGUAAACUGCUUUAGACAGGGAAGAAAAAGACAGUACCUGUAGAAUAAGCUCCGGCUAACUACGUGCCAGCAGCCGCGGUAAUACGUAGGGAGCAAGCGUUAUCCGGAUUUAUUGGGUGUAAAGGGUGCGUAGACGGGAAGACAAGUUAGUUGUGAAAUCCCUCGGCUUAACUGAGGAACUGCAACUAAAACUAUCAUUCUUGAGUGCUGGAGAGGAAAGUGGAAUUCCUAGUGUAGCGGUGAAAUGCGUAGAUAUUAGGAGGAACACCAGUGGCGAAGGCGACUUUCUGGACAGUAACUGACGUUGAGGCACGAAAAGUGUGGGGAGCAAAACAGGGUUAGAUACC
rnacentral:rRNA from 1 species